rnacentral:lncRNA from 1 species
UAAACUAAUCCCAACUAGGAUAAAACUGUAUUUUUUAUCUAAUAAAAUAUUAUCAACAUAUAAUAUACUACUAGUGUAGGUACCCGCGCGAUGCUGCGGGUAGUUACUGCUAAAUAAAAUUAUAGUAUACCAGUAUUAAAAUAUUAGUUCACAAUGGAGAGCAUUGUAGUAAAAUUUUAGAAAGAGUAAAAUAUCAACAAAAGUAAUAGUUAUAUGCAGUGAGUUAUAGCCAACACAAAAACUUGAGUGACAGGCAAUAAAAGCAAAGACAAUAGG